CCCUUAGAUGUUCUGGGCUGCACGCGCGCUACACUGAAGCGUUCAACGAGUAUUUCACCUUGCCCGGGAGGGUUGGGUAAUCUUUUUAAAACGCUUCGUGAUGGGGAUAGAUUAUUGCAAUUAUUAAUCUUCAACGAGGAAUUCCUAGUAAGCGCGAGUCAUCAGCUCGUGCUGAUUACGUCCCUGCCCUUUGUACACACCGCCCGUCGCUCCUACCGAUUGAGUAAUCCGGUGAAUAAUUCGGACUGCAGCAGUGCUUGGUCCUCCGGGCUUUGCAGUGGAAAGUUUAGUGAACCUUAUCACUUAGAGGAAGGAGAAGUCGUAACA
rnacentral:rRNA from 1 species